CUAGAUGACUGAUAUCUGGGAAUUUCCCUUCCAAUGAACAAGAACGGAGAUUGAGAGAUGUCAAAGAAAAAGACAAAUUCAUCAAGGAAUUAGGUGCAACCAAAGACAUGUUUACACCACUCAAGUCCAAUUCCUGUAACUGGGUUAGGUUUUGAACAAGCUGGUUAAAAAUAGUGGCUUCGAGUAUCAAAUAACUGUUCCUAGAAAGAUCAAGCGAAACCAAACCAGAAAGAUAAGAAAUUUCUAGUGGAAUUUGGCCCUCAAAAACAGAGUAAUUUAGGUUAAGAUAUGUUAAAUUCAAAAAUUGGCCAAACUGAGGUACAAUUUGAGAGUGGUUGAAAUUAUUAUUAGAGAGGUCAAGCUUUUGGAGAUGAGGAAGGAAGAAAAGAGUAUUAUUAGAAUCGAUGGUACCAUAAAGCAAGCUAGAAGAAAGGUCAAGACCAAUUACAUUACCCGUAUCUAUGUUGCAAGUGACCCCAUCCCACAAGCAGCAAUCUGUACCCUCUUUCCAAGUGUCUGUCUUUGGAUAAGGCUUGGGGUAAGGGAAAUCCCAGGGAGAGGCAUCACUUGUGAUGGAAAAGGUUUUCUUGAAUUGAAGCAAGGCAAGACUCUGGUCAUGUUGACACGGCAUGGCUGGAGAGGAGGAAUUGAAAUAAAAAGGUGAAGAAGAAGCAGCUUGGAAAUGCAAGUGAAACAAAAGGAAGCAGAGAAAGUGAGCAAGCCAUAGUAGACUAGCCAUUCUCUUGAAGUGGAAAGCUAAAGUUGAAAUGUUGAGUUAUUAAAAAAUCAGUGUAAGCAUUUGGUAUUUAUAAUCC
rnacentral:misc_RNA from 1 species